ensembl:lncRNA
CACGUUUAACUCAUAAAGCUUAGCAUUCCUUUCCAACUGCCAUGUGAUUUUAACAUUGACCCUAACGUUUAAGCAUGACAUGUUUAAGCAUGGCAUGACUCGCAGAUUGUAAUCUUAAUGUAUUUCAGGUAACUAUUUCAUGAAGUUGGUUGUAAUGAAGCCCAAUGUUGAAAAGAACCACAGAUCUAACUUAUAGAAGGUCUGCUGUUCUUCGUGGUCUUCCCCUGUACUUGAGAGAGAGCCAGCUUCAAUUUCAAAGACCAUUAAGGAUACUGAGGCACUGGGGCCACACACAAAGGCCAUGAAAAUGGGGAUCCUGGAAGUGACUGACAGUUCUACCAACUCAGGACCAUAUCCCACAGUGGUCAAUGUGGCUGUAGUACUGGAGGAGGAAGUUGUCAUGGACAAUCUGGGAGACUUCACAAAAGAGUGCACAGCAAGGAUACAGUCCUUGAAAAACAAGUUAUUACAGGUGUAAUGGUCAUUACAUGUCAGUCAUUGAGGUAUUUUGAG